GUGAGUCUGGAUCUAGCUUGAAGGUCAGUAUUGAAUAUCUUCACACUUCUGCCAUAAAGGCUCUAUUUGGGAAUGUCUGUAGAUGGUAAAUCCAUGGUACUUAUUAAGGCUUUUCGCUAGUUUUCGCACCUCGUGUUAAAACCUUAUCAUUUGCCAUGACGAUUUGUAUCUCAAUUUCCUACAUUCUUUAGUUUCAAAUAUUAAUUUUAGCAUCCCUUUUACCUCCAGGGAAGAAAUCAAACUGCGGACG
rnacentral:misc_RNA from 1 species